GAGCAAAUUGGCCUGGCUCAUCUUUUUAUCAGGAACCCAUGCCCACUGAAACCAACAUGCCUGUCAGGUAGACAAGGUCACUGGGACUCCAUGAGAUUGUUUUCAGUCCCAGGCAGCAAGAGGCACUUGGAUCUGAAGUCAGAGGAUCAUGAUUUACCCAGUGUUCUUCUACCCGGGCCAGGCUGGAGUCCUUGCCCACUAAGUGGCACCAUCAUACAGGUGGAAGUAGAAAUGAUGAACUCUGGAGAAGUAUCCAAGCACUGAAUGUUAGAGGACAUGUAGAUGAAACGAUGCAAGAAGGGGAGGCUGUGAACUGCAUCCUGGAACAGAUCUCUCUCACUCUUUGUCUAUCCAACCACCUAUCCAUCCAUCCAUCCGUUCAUCCAUCCACCCACCAAUCCACCUAUCCUUCCAUCUAUGUAAGUGGGAUUUUGGGGAAAUUGUCAUAAUUUGAAUACAUCCUGUAGAUUAAAAAAUAGUAUUGUAUAAUCCUUCAUUUCCUAGUUUCAAUAAUUAUACUCUGUUUUUUUUCUAAAUUGGUUUUAUCGGUACAUUUUAGAUAUACAUAAUAAUAACAUUCAUCAUAGGAAUUUGUACCCAUAUAUAAUGUACCUUGAUUCUUCUUUUUCCCCAGUCCCCUCCCCUCCCCUUCAACCCCUCUUAUUCCCCUCCUUAUUUACAAAAGCUUUGUUUCCAUUUUUUCAAAGAUGGCUCCUUUGUCAAAGAUAAGGUGGCUGAGUGUGUCUGGAGUUGUUUCUGCACCUCUAAUCUGUUUCUUUGAUCCUUGGGUCUGUUUUUUUGCCAGACCAUGCUGGGUUUUUUGUAAAUCAUGGUAGCUUUAUAGUAUAAUUUCAAGUCAGGGACUGUGAUGCUCCCUAUCUUGCCUUUGUUGCCCAGAGUUGCUUUUGUUAUCCUAGGUCUCUUCUGGUUCCAAAUGAGUUUUAGUACUGUUUUCUCUAAUUCUGUGUAUACUCUGAUUUUAUAAUAGAAUAUUCUUGUUCUUAGGAAAUCCUGGGAAAUAUGGGUGAAAAAUAUUUUGGAAUUUUUUAUUCUCAAACUUCCUGUGCAUUUCAGGUUAUUUCAAAUUAUAAGUGUUACUAGAAUUAUGUAUAUAAUUUUAAAACAAAUUGAGAGGUAUGUGCCUUAAAAAAAAAUAGCCAUUCUGUGAAAUCAGAUUGAAAUGAAUGCACACUGAAAACUGGCCAAGGUCCCAGGGAAUGUUUGUGUCAGGGCUGGCCCAGCUCCAGGAACAAAAGGCACAGAGGGCUUUGGGUUUCGCGUCAUUUCCAGUAACAUGAAGGCCACACACCUUCAGUGUGGCAAUAAUAUAAAAACCCUCAGGUGCUCCAGUCAGCACAGGUCCUGGUGUUGUGGGCUAUCAGGAUCUGGCGCCUGUCCAGUGUCACCGUGAUUUCCUGGAUGGCUCUCAGGAGUUUCCCGCUUUCUCUAGCACUCUGGGAAGGGGUAAGAAUAAAGAAGACAACGUCCAAGGCCUACCUUAAAAAGGAGUCUAGCAGUAUGACCUGCCCUCACAAACGCUCUGAAGAAAAGCUUUUGUCCUUAACCUGAUCUGUCAAGAACCAAUCAUCCCUUGGACCGCUACUUCUCCACCUGUGCUGCUCCAAGCAAAUCUGCAGUCCUAGCCUAGCUCUUCCACUCAGGGAACUUAUUUUUCCAUUUUGACUUUGACUUUUCACUCCUGGCCCUAUUCACUCUUCUCUCUCCAGAAUUGGAAAGCUAGAGUCUUCUCCAACUCAUUUCUUACAAUUGAGAUGCUUCCCAGGCUUCAGUUAGAAGGUCCUACAGAUUUUAACAGCUGGUCAGAAGACGGUCUGAACUGAAGCUCACCUGGAGGAGUAGAACGACCAGCAAUGUGUGGGCCAGAGGCAGCAGACAUCUCCGUUUUCUGAUGCAGCUCUGCAGUAGGACACCCUUUCCAGAACUGCAGGCAUGAAUGGUGUCCCUGGCCAUGCAGGAAGCUGGUGUGUUCCUUCCUCAGCCUUGUUCCAGCCUUGGCUAGCAGAUGCAGGCUGCCCCUGAAAAGUAUGACCUCAGCCAAACCACUGUCUGCUCCUGAGACAGCCAGAUUCUUUCUGGAAGGGAGAUCUGAGGAGUGGCCUCCAGGUCUGCCACAGGGAGGUAAGAAAUACCAAAGGCUGCACAAGAGAAGGGACACUUUGCUUGUGAGUGUGUAAUAAAGGAUGCCCAUUCAAGGAGGCACUGAUUAGAUGGUGUAUGAUUGGAUCAUGUCCACUGAUCUGAAUCAUGUCUCAUCCUUUGUUUUUUUACACAGGCACAAAAACUUAACAUGGCAUACUGUUUGGAUUGCAUUGGAGUGUGUCUGUUCCUUUGAUCGGAUCAUGUCUGUUUGAUCGUGCAUUGAUUGGAUCAUGUGUGUUCCUUUAUUUUCACACACAGGCACAAAAACUUUUAACACGGCAUAGCUAAAGGCCAAGCAGACACACAUAGGUGCUGUAGUGUGUGAUUCCCAGAGUUCAUGUGUGGCAACAAGGUCUGCAGAGAAAUGGGACCUCCAAGGUAUGCAAGGAGUGGCUAGGUCAUGAGUGCUGUGCUCUCAGGAGGGGUUAACACCAGAAUUGGGACGAGGUUCACAGUCGCCAGCAUGUAAGCUCAGCACCUCUCUCUUCCUCUGGUCCAUGCAGGGCCUUCCACCAUGUUAUGAUGCAGCAGGUCCCCUUCACCAGCUAUACCCUUGAUCCUGGAUUUUCUGUUCUCCGCAUCUGUGAGAUCUAAGCUUCUGGUCUUUAUACAAUUGCCAGUCUCACAGUUCUGGUAGAGUAACUCAAGACUAAGUAGGGGCACUGGUAAAGGGGAAAUGUAGUACAUGUGUGACUUUUUAUUUCUACUCUGGGUUUACUGAGAAGAUUAUCAGUUCUUAUCAUUUUCUUUCAAAUUUUUACGGUUUUCUGUUAUUCUGUGUUAUUAUAAAAAGUCUCCAAUCUAGAAUCUGCUAAUAACAUGAAAUUUGAAAUUUUAUUAAAUGGCAAAUAUAUUUAUUUACUUGUUAAUAUGAUACUAUAAUUUUAUACAGAAUAUCUAUGUUUUUUCUUCACAUUUCAGCCAGAAUAUUUUGAGGCUUCUUCAGAUAUCACUUGUUCUGUGUGAAUUUUAACAAUUCACUUGCUCUUCCUAACCCUGAAUUGCCUCAUCUGUAGAGUGGAGUUAUGAGGGUGUGGAGUUGAGGUAGUGUUAGACGGUACAAUGUGUGUAUGUAAUGGACUUGAUGGAUUUUUGCGGUGGCUGACAUGUAGAAACAAAUCAACAUCUGCAACUCACUGCAUUGUGAUAAAGUAAACCUUCCUUUCUUUAGUGAAAAUCAGCCAUCACCUUAAGAUAUCCUUCUGCAAAACGUCUCUCUGGAAGAGUAACAUGACCCAGAUAGGGACACAAACCUCUAACUCUACCAUACGGCCUCAACACUUUUCUCAGUUUGUCACAAGAUGGCCCCAAAUCCACAUUCUGCACAGCCCUAUAUUCACAGAAAUGGAAUUCACACAGUGAGAAGGUUGUACAGGACAAAAAUGGUAUGUGCAGGCAGCCCACUUAAUAACCAGUUGUUCAAUUGGCUAGAAGAAGAGAAAAAAGCAAGCUUUGUUUGUUUCAAUGGGCCAGAAAGCUCUUUAAUGCAUGUAAACAUUUUCUUCAAGGCUAGUCUCCAUAAGAGCAGUAAAUAAAUCAUCCCAUUGACACGUUACAGUUUUAUUGGUACAUGGCAGGGUUGACUGAGAAAAAACAGCAAUCUUUACCUUUUCUCUCUUUUAUAGUAACAAUUAUUUCAUUUUUUGUUAUUUGAAAAGUAUACAAAACUGCUUCAAAACCUCGUUCUCUUUAUCCUCUUAAAAUUGAAAUAUAAGGAAAAACUAUACAUGAUAAAUCAUGUAAGAUCCUGUCAGAUCAGGAAAACCUUAGAUUAAAAGUCUUAUGGGAUCAUGACUAAUUCAUUAUUUCUUCUUCUUCAUCUUACCUCAGAAUCCCUAAAGUCUUAAAAUGGAGCUUCAAGAAAUUUUUUUCCAGGCAGUGAAAAAUUCCUUCCUUUCUACUUUCUUUCUGCAAUGCUAGAAGAAAUGCCUGGCAAUUGAUUGCAACUGAUGCGCAAUAAUACGUGAAUCAAUGGUAAAAUAAUUAACAUAGAACAUUAGUGUUCUAGUUCAACUUAAUGGUGGUGUGGCUUGGACAAGUCAUUUCAAGACAAUCCUUAGUGUGUGUGUGUGUGUGUGAGUGUGUGUGUAUGUGUGUGUGUGGUAAACGAGAUAGUCUCCACAGUGUACCAGACACAUGGCAGGCCCUUAAUGCUUCAUUUCAUUAUCACUGUUAUUUUACUCAUGAUGCAAUGGAAUAAUGGAAAGAGUUAAUUUAAUCUUCAGUAGAAAUAUCCAAACAUAACUGCCGUUUCUCAAUUUACUCUGAACUGCAGCCUCAAUGCUCACUCCACAUGGUGCCAUAUCUUCUAAGUUAGCCUGUUGUUUGUGUGAAGGUGGGGUGGGAUCAAAACAUCAAUGUUUUCCCAGGCAUGGUGGCACAUGCCUAUGAUCCCAGCACUCGGGAGGCUGAGGUAGGAGGAUUGACAAGAGUUUGAGGCCAGCCUGGGCUACAUAGUGAGUUCAGGACCAGUCUGAAUUACAAAGGAAGACCCUGCCUCAAAAAACCAAGAAAAAAAAAAUCAAUGUUUUGACAGUCACCGAUUUUCCCAUGUAUUAGAUUUUCUGCUCAGGAUUCAGCAGCUGGUGUUGUGGUUUUAAUUUUGUAAUUAUUCAUGAUUUCAUAACAAUCACUGACUCUGUGCCAACUCAGAAAAACUCAAUUCAGCAUUAUAUUGUAAAAGUAGUUAUCUUAAAACUGGUCAAAAUUUGAGAUUGAACAGCAAUAAGAAGAAAUAUGCUUUCCUAUUUUUACUACCUUAUUGUCAAUGGGUAUGGUAAAAAAAUGUAAUAAAUUUAAAAAUUUUUCGCUGUUUAUCUGAGAACCAGCAGAUUGUAGAAAUCUCUUCAUCUUUUAUUCUGGUUACCCUUGUCUACACCUGCCGUGUGCAGGAGACUGGCGUAUUUCAAUAUUUUCCAUCUGAAUUGUGAAUGAGUUGAUCAGAUGUCUCCGCCCUCCUUUCCUAAUCAAAUAUAUUGAUUUCCUACCAAGUUCUAGAAACUAUACUCAAGUGUGAACUUUCAAAUACAAAAGGAUAUAACCCAGGAGGUCAGGAGACCACACAGUAGUAAGAGGACAUGCAUGGAUGUGUUCGUUGACCAAUGAAAAUUCACAGAACAGUGUCCUCUCUGGAAGCACAGCUGCUGCUGUGAGCUCAAGGAGCAGUGGAGAGCCCAGGUUAGCUGGAUCAAGAGAGAGCAAGGCUCAAAACACUGGCUCAAAAGCUGCCAGAGAGGUACUGAGAAGCCAGCAUUAAGGGCCUUGUGAUCAAUGCCUGAGGACUUGGGCAUCAACUCUGAGCACCAGGAAGCUAAUGGUGGAUCAUGAGCAGAGUCCUGGUCCAACUCCUAUUUGGAGGGGACUGCACUGGUGAGUGUGUCAAGGGUGGACUUUGCAGUGGGGGAACAUGCAGACCCAGCACAGCACAGAUCUGAUGGUCAUGAAAGGCACCAUUUGAGCAGUUGCACUGUACAGACAGAGCCAAGAAGGCUCCCUGUAGGCUUUCAGUGAUGUGGAUGAGACAGAGGAUGCAUCCACAGCAGUACUGUGGUGUCCACGCACAGCAUACACUGAGGUGGCAGUGCUUGGCUUGGGCCCAGACAUACUGAGAAGCAAAACUCAUGAGAAUUGGUAAUUAAGCAUUUAACUUCAAAUGUAAGUAUUUAUCAGCUUAGGAAAUUCCUUGUGAAGUACUUUACCUUUAUAUCAAGAGCCUCAGAAUUCAUCUCCUCCUAUCGGUAACACCGAAUAACAGCUGCCUCAUUUCUAUUGUUCCAAAUCAUCAAUUUCUUGGUGUAUUUCAUAACAAGUAUAAAAGAUGAAUAUGGGUAAAGAAAUCCUAAUAUACUAAAAAUAAAAUCAGCAAAGACUGAGAGGGAGAAAUAAGUUCAAACACUCCUGUGUGUGUAGUAAUGUACAGACCUUUUCUUUUCUUGCUCUCUUUUAUUGAACCCUUCUCUCUUUGUCUAGUCAGGGAUCCAUCUUGGCUAGGAAAACUUCAGUGAAUCAAUAGAGAGGAGUUUUGUCAUCUUUACACUACCUGGACAUAUUAGCAACUUUAUGCUAACUUGUACAUAUUAUCUUUAUAUGAACCUGGACACACUAGCUCUACAUAAACCUGCACACACUGCCUUUGUAUGAACCCGGAUGUCCUAUUUUUACACUGGCCCAGACAUACUAUUGUUAUAUUAACCAGGAUAUACCAUCUUUCUAUGAACCAGGACAUUCUGUCUCUGUAUUAACCUGGACGUGCUAUUUUUACACUGACCUGGAUGUAUCAUCUUUAUAGUAACCUGAACUUAUUGUUGGAAGAUUUCCCCAGGAAACAUUGCAAAGUCAUCAAGUGUCACACAAUUUUUCUUUCUGUCACCUUCCACUUCAUUGCAAAGCUUCUAUGCUUUGUUCUCAUCUCUGCAUGUCUGGGAUCUAGAGCUUUGUGUUUCUUUCUCUGAAGAGCUGGUCCCCGAAGUCUCUUCCUCACCCUUCUAGUAAAAAUUAUUUCUUCUCCUCCCAGCACUGCUGGCAAAAUAAGUCACUGAUCUGGUUCUAGUAUUUGAUUCUAAGAUACAAAUGAAUGAGCCCAAGCUUAUCAAAGGCUUGUAAAGAGAUUUUGCAGAAGUAAAUGCAUCUGUAAUAGGAGAAUAGAUGGGGUUGUAUUCAUAUUGGAGGCCACCUCUUAACAACAGCCUAAUAACACACAUCCAAACCCACAACACACACACACACACACACACAAACACACAUGGGCACACACAUCCAUGUGCAUAUUUUCCCAUGUUAUAAAGAAAAAAACGGCAAGAAAUGAGCUUUGAAGCCACUUGCAACCUUUUCUCUCAUAGCUCUUCUUUUUUUUUCCAAACUGCAGUUUUAUACAUAGCUUUAGUGCAAGAGAAGUUAUGCUUCUGAACACUACAUGCCAUUCUGUCUCCUGGGAGUGUCCUGUGGAUUCAUACAUUAUUUUAUGGGAAGGAAAAUUAGAAAGCAAACACAAUAUUUACUUGACCAGGAUGAGGUUCAGAAAGAGAUGUACAGAGCUAAUAUGCCAUUCAGUAUUUUGAGAAAUGAUUAGAAAUAGCUUAAUCUUCAUCUACCAGAAUUCACUAUUAAAUAAAAAAACAAAAGAUAACUCUCUUUUCCUUUGUAGUUAAGCAGAUUUCCAACCACAUCAAAAUACAACAACUGCUAGGUUACUUUUGUAGUGGACUAAUGAGCAACAUGUAACGCCCAGCUGAACUAAAUCAGAGUGGUCUGGGCAUGGAGGAUCCACCUGAGGAUUGUUGUCAGUAGCCAUAAAAAGAAAACUGGAGGGGAAGAUCGUGGCCUGUUGAUUUUUCUAGGAGAAGCUUGCUGUGGAUGGUUUUCCUGAUGCGAACUAGGCUGUUCUCGUCAGAGGAGGAACUCAGGUUCUCGCUGUCGCUGGGAAUGGCUGCUGUUUUCAUCAGAGCAGCUCUGAUCUUCACCGUGAGCAUCACUUCCUGGCCCCAGUGUGGAUCCCUCAGCCUGGUGGCACAAAUCCUUCAUCUCACCAGCAUAGGUUUUCUGGCUCCCACCACUGGCCUUUGGGCCUUCCGGGUGCAGAUUCUCAAUAUGGACAAGCAUGAGACAUUGCCAUGGGCUCUAGGCCACUAGCUGGACUCAUGGAGGACAUUGCCUUGGACUCUAAGCCUUUAGCUGGACUUAUGUGGGAAAUUGCUGGAUCCAGGCCGUUGGCUUGAUUCUUUUGGCCUCUAGUGUGUGGUUAAUGUCUUGCAUUCCUUUGCAUUUCACUUUUUGGGUAAUUACCAUCAAAUAAUCCUAUAAACUAUGUGUCCUGUAGUAAAUGUAUUAUCUUACCAAAACUCUGACUACAAUGACUUUAGAUUUUAAAUGUAAGGAAGUGUCACAGAAUCAGGCCCAUUCCUGAUUAUCCAAAGGCUCUAAAUGCUAUUUGUUCUGAGAAACAGAGGAGUGCUUGGCUGCUCUGUUAGGGAUUGAGACAGUGCCUGGGGAGGCGAGUAGUUUUCUCGACACAAUAGGCAGAAACAAGAAAGGAAUCAAGGGCCCUGACUCACUGUCUGGUGUUUACCAAAGGCAGACCACAUUACGAUGUUCAAAUUCAUGGCCAAAUACCUUCAAAUACAGCUAACCGCAGGGACUGAGAGGGAAUCAGGCCUCUUGGAGAAAAGCUGUAGGAACUCGAGCUGCUCCUGGAAUUGUUAAGUAUAUCCCAGAAUUAUGGUGGCAUGCUCAUUUUAUGUACUGUAUGAUAAAGCCAACCAAAGCCAGGCGCAGAGUCCUGGGGAUGGGACUCUCACCCUCUUCAGGCUGAACUCAAAGCAAUGUUUGGGGGAGCUAACAUGCUGCCCCAAAGAAAAGACAACAUUGAACCAAAGAAAUGCAAACCAAAACAUUUUAAAGUGAACAAUCAAAAGGUGGAAAACAAAUACUUUGGUCAUCUAUAGAACACUCAGGGGGAAUAAAAAAAGAAAUAGGGAGAUGAUUUGCUUUUUUAAAGAAUUUCCAUAAUAUCCGCUCUCCAAAAAUCAGAACCAAAGACAAGGACUUAGGUCCUUGCAGUUGAUGGAUGAGAAGAUCUGGGACACACAUGAGGGAUGGGAAGUGACACAGAGAGGAGUGGAAGCAAUGUGAGAGCCUCUUACUGAGCUGCCACUGUGGGGACCUGAGCCGCUGCCUCCCUGGGGCUGCUGGCAGCAUCCUCAGGUGUUCUGCCUUGAGGCUUGGAAUCUGGAACCUGGAAUCCUCAGCUCCAGCUUUCCUGUGGUUAGGAACUGCUCCGGCGCAUUAACUCCCACCCCUUCUUGUGUCUUUUAUUGCACAGCUGUCAAGCUGGCUUCUACUGGCUUCUGCUGCCUAGAGGGGCUUUGAGGCAAAAUGCCAGACACCUGCUAGUGUGGGCAGCUACCAGGGCAAAGGCGGAUCUGAAUUUGCAGGAGCUCUUCUCUUGUGACUGAAAGUUGAGCUGUUUUGUACAGAAGACAACUUUGCAACCUUCAGUGAAUGGAGAAAAAGUAUUUGAAGGGAUCAAACUCAGGACCUCGAGCUUGCCAGGGAGGUGCUAUGCUGCUGAGCUACAGCCCAAGCCCUCUUAAUGACAGUAUCUUGCAACCCAUACUAUCUUAGAUUCAACAAAUAGCAAAGAAAUAACAAGACUAGGAUUUGUCACCUGGAGUGCAUGAUUCCAAACUUCGGACUAUUUUCUGGCCAACAAUAAUUUUUACCUGAAAGAUUCAAGCAAUUAAGGUAAUGCACAUUGCAUAUGCUAUGGAAAUUAUUUUCUUCUUUCCCCAUGCCAUUUCAUGUAUUGGCAUGCAGUUUGAGAUUUUGUGUUUGGCUUGACCAUAUCUAUAUAGAAUUGUGCUUCUUAGGACCCAAAUUCCUUGCUUCCCUGUAAACUCAAGCUGUUUAAUGAGUUCUGUUGAAGUGGGCUGAUGAAACAUGUUUAUUAUCACAAGUG
ensembl:lncRNA